rnacentral:rRNA from 1 species
CCUACGGGAGGCAGCAGUGAGGAAUAUUGGUCAAUGGGCGCAAGCCUGAACCAGCCAAGUCGCGUGAGGGAUGACGGUCCUAUGGAUUGUAAACCUCUUUUGUCGGGGAGCAAGGCCCGCCACGUGUGGCGGGAAGGAGAGUACCCGAAGAAAAAGCAUCGGCUAACUCCGUGCCAGCAGCCGCGGUAAUACGGAGGAUGCGAGCGUUAUCCGGAUUUAUUGGGUUUAAAGGGUGCGUAGGCGGAAUAUCAAGUCAGCGGUAAAAAUUCGGGGCUCAACCCCGUCGUGCCGUUGAAACUGAUGUUCUUGAGUGGGCGAGAAGUAUGCGGAAUGCGUGGUGUAGCGGUGAAAUGCUUAGAUAUCACGAAGAACUCCGAUUGCGAAGGCAGCUCACUGGACUGCAACUGACACUGAGGCUCGAAAGUGUGGGUAUCAAACAGGAUUAGAUACCCGUGUAGUC